AAAACCGUCAAAACUCCACCGACCCAUGUCCUCCUCUCCCUUGGGCUCGCCGACGAGCUCUCGGUGAGAACAAUCCGAUAAUAAGAAAGAAAGAUUACAUUUUGCUGAAGGAUUUAUAAGUGAAAACUGAAGUUGAUGAAGAAAAGGGUUUUGUUUUAUGCUUCUGGGUUUCUAUCUUCAACUUCUAUUCUGUGUAUCCCGAAACCAUUCUUGAACAGGUGUAUGCAGAGAGUAACAGCAGGUCCCCUUUACUUGUUCUAAACGGAAAGACAUUGAUGUUUUUACCAUUGACUUGCCUACUCAAUGAAGCUCCUGGUCCUGGAAACACUGAUUUACGAUUAACCGCCGAGAUUGAACAAAACCAAAACAAAUGGAUACAUGUCGGAUACGAGGUCUCUUCUGAUUUUGUGCGGCUUUGCACUAAUGGGGAGAUUGCAGGAGUGUGACAUCUUUCUUGUAGUUCAAGGAAGAGGACAUUGAUUGAUAUUCGUGGCAAUAGAAGUUUUCAUGCUUUCAUCCAUGACGCAAAAGUCUUGCCUUAAACGUUCUCCGUAAAGGACCAAUAUGUGAAGGCAUAUCGUCGUCGGAUCUUUUCCUUGGAUGUUGUUUUAUUAAAUAUCUUUGGGCAGCCAGUAAACAAGGAACUAGAGGUCGUGGCAUCACUCUUGUAUGCUUUUAAUCGGUUACCCGUUGAGAAGAUAAAUGGUGAAGAACCUCCUCUUCUAGUUAGCUGUGAUGGAAUUGAAUUUGCCUCUUCUGACCGACCUAGUAAAUUAUCAAAUGGGCGGGCAUCCUUUAAACUGAAGAUCUCCAAGGUGGUAAUAUUAGAUAUAGUUUGUGCUAUAUUUUGUUCAAUACGUGUGUUUUUCGGUAUUUUAUAAAUUUCUUCGUGGAACUUAUUCCAUGAGAAACUAGUCCGUAGUUUUUCAUUCUUCUAGAGGCCUUCUUUUGUGGAAAAUAAUGUCUUCUGCUGAUGGUAACCGACCCCAUAUAAUAUAACUUCAGCUAAACUACUUCUCAAGCACAGAGGUUACAAUAUUUUGUGUAGCUAGGUUGGUUGAGUUGAAG